UACGUAGGCAGCGAGCGUUGUUCGGAAUUACUGGGCGUAAAGAGCUCGUAGGUGGUUUGUCGCGUUGUCCGUGAAAACUCACAGCUCAACUGUGGGCGUGCGGGCGAUACGGGCAGACUGGAGUACUGCAGGGGAGACUGGAAUUCCUGGUGUAGCGGUGAAAUGCGCAGAUAUCAGGAGGAACACCGAUGGCGAAGGCAGGUCUCUGGGCCACUACUGACGCUGAGAAGCGAAAGCAUGGGGAGCGAACAGG
rnacentral:rRNA from 1 species